UAGCUCAAGUCAGUUGAGCGUAGCGCUAACAAUGCUAAGGUUGUGGGUUCAAUUCCCGU
rnacentral:tRNA from 1 species